AUACGUAGGUGGCAAGCGUUGUCCGGAAUUAUUGGGCGUAAAGCGCAUGUAGGCGGUUUGGUAAGUCGGUUGUGAAAAUGCGGUGCUUAACGCCGUAUGGCGAUUGAAACUGCUGAACUUGAGUGCAGGGGAGGAAAGGGGAACUCCCAGUGUAGCGGUGAAAUGCGUAGAUAUCGGGAAGAACACCGGUGGCGAAGGCGCCUUUCUGGACUGUGUCUGACGCUCAGAUGCGAAAGCCAGGGUAGCGAACGGGAUUAGAUACCCCGGUAGUCCUGGCCGUAAACGAUGGGUACUAGGUGUGGGAGGUAUCGACUCCUUCCGUGCCGGAGUUAACGCAAUAAGUACCCCGCCUGGGGAGUACGGCCGCAAGGCUUAAACUCAAAUGAAUGGACGGGG
rnacentral:rRNA from 1 species